rnacentral:rRNA from 1 species
GCACCUUCGGGUGUGAAUUAGCGGCGAACGGGUGAGGAACACGUGAGAAAUCUGCCUUCAACACUGGGAUAACUCCGGGAAACCGGGGCUAAUACCGGAUAUGAAAUCUGCGAGCAUCCGCGGAUUUGGAAAGUUUUUCGGUUGAAGAUGAUCUCGCGGCCUAUCAGCUUGUUGGUGAGGUAAUGGCUCACCAAGGCGACGACGGGUAGCCGGCCUGAGAGGGCGACCGGCCACACUGGGACUGAGACACGGCCCAGACUCCUACGGGAGGCAGCAGUGGGGAAUAUUGGGCAAUGGAGGAAACUCUGACCCAGCGACGCCGCGUGCGGGAUGAAGGCCUUCGGGUUGUAAACCGCUUUCAGCAGGGAAGAAGCGAAAGUGACGGUACCUGCAGAAGAAGCACCGGCUAACUAUGUGCCAGCAGCCGCGGUAAUACAUAGGGUGCAAGCGUUGUCCGGAAUUAUUGGGCGUAAAGAGCUCGUAGGUGGUUCGUCACGUCGGAUGUGAAACUCUGGGGCUUAACCCCAGACCUGCAUUCGAUACGGGCGAGCUUGAGUAUGGUAGGGGAGU